UGGUGGACUUUUGGUGGAGGAACCAGACUGGAUGUUGGAAGUGAUGUCCGUCCCACCCUGACGGUGCUGCCCCCCUCCAGCGAGGAGCUGCAGCAAGGGAAGGCCACGCUCAUGUGUCUGGCCAACGAUGGCUUCCCCUCAGACUGGAGUCUGGCCUGGAAGGUGGACGGCAGCAGCAGCAGCUUGGAGCAGAGCAGGAGCCCCGGGGUGCUGCAGAAGGACGGCCGCUACAGCUGGAGCAGCACCCUGAGGCUCCCUGCAGACCAGUGGAGGAAGGUGGUCUCUGUGACCUGUGAGGCCACCCAGGGCUCCCAGACUCCAGUCUCAGAGACACUGAGGAGAGACCAGUGUUCCUAG